UCUGGUUGCCACCCUGCGACAGGGAUACCAUACAUAAUUUGUAUUUACUUCUUAUCUGGAUUAGAACAUAACAUUGGAUAUCUGUGUUUUUAGAUAAAGAAAUAGUGGUUGUAAUAUGGUGAUGAUCUAGCCCCUGCAGGGUUACCCUAACCGAUGAUCGAGAUGGUUCCGACCUUUCUUUUCGACAUGGAUGUAUGGAUUUUGCUUAUAGCAGUUCUAUCACAUUUUGCCGACGUUUCUGCCAUCAAAUGCCUUCAGUGUAACUCGCUGGUGAAUAAAGAAUGCGAGUACGGACGGAUGCCGCCGAAGGAAUGCAAAGGAGAGAGUCAAAAUGCCAAGUAUUGCGUGAAGUAUAUUGGACAUGUAGACAACAAGAAAAUUCCAAAGAUCAGUUUCCGGUACUGCAGCAAAACAUUCGUGGGGGAGGAAUGCAGUGACAAAAACAUUGAAGGUCACGUGGUAAAGGUGUGCUAUAGUACAUGUGAUACUGACGGUUGCAAUGGGGAACCAGAUGGGGAACGAGAUCGGGAACCGGAAGUUCCCAUCGCACUCACAGGUGAUUCGAAAAAUGACACUGACACAAGAAAUGGCGCCGCAACAAGCCGCGAUGUUCUCUUUGUUUUAUGCCUUGCCUUGUUUUUUUCCUUUCCCUUGAAAAGUCUUAACUCGAGCUUGCGGUGACCACGGAUCGAAAGUAUUGAUAUAUAUGUAAUGUUAUGCACCGCCUGAAGCAUCCUGGAUUGGCAUGUACCGCGCCAUCGUCCUCGACAUAACCCCUGGCUGAGGCUCUGACCAGCGUCCGCGCCCUUUUCAUGACAUAAAGCCAUAUAGAUGUCCAUGCACUAUAGUGCCAAACAUUCUCGUCAAAUGCAAACUUUUUUACUUCAAUCCCCCAAUCUUUGCACUCACGGAGGGGAUAUUUUCGGAUGGUCGUAAUAGCCCUUGAUUUCAUUACAAUAAGCAGUUAUAGCUUCAAUAUGUGAUUCAUGUACACUCUCGACAGUGGUUCUUAAUGUUGGAGCAUAUCAUAGGGCCGUUUCUGUCACGAAAAUAUAAUAUUCACCGCUGCAAUUCAUCAAGAAGCGCAACUUGAGAAAAAUUUGCAAAAAGUAUGGCAUUUCAAUUAAAGUCAGACAGCAAUGUUUUUUAGACAAGGACAUAUUGAAUAAACUCGCACCAACCUGGCCAGUACUUCGAGGUUUCUGGCCUUCGUCGUCUUGCAUUCAUGAAUGGAUACGACAAAUUAGGAGUAUCUGCCAUGCGUGAGUUCUGCAGAGAGUAUAUAGAUAAACAUGUGAUUAUUUUUUUCGCAAUUGUAGUCGUGUUUUAAUCAACCUUUAAGAAUUGAGAGUAUGUGGCAAAUACCGUCAUGACUCUAGGAGGAUGCGUUAUUAGUGCGUACUGGCGGAGUCAAUACGGAGAAGUUAAAAACCAGAGGAUUCAUCGUAUCAAGCUUCUUCCUAUAAGAAUGAAAUGGCGUCAUGUUGGCAUAAUCUGAUUGAUUGAGUCUGAUACACACACGUCUCUUGCAAAUAAUUUUUCAAAAUACACCUUAAUGUCAACGUGUCUUGUUAAAAUAUCUCACUCCAUGUAUUAAACAGAUUUCUUUCUACAA